AGUGAACGCUGGCGGUAGGCCUAACACAUGCAAGUCGAACGGCAGCACAGUAAGAGCUUGCUCUUACGGGUGGCGAGUGGCGGACGGGUGAGGAAUACAUCGGAAUCUACUUUUUCGUGGGGGAUAACGUAGGGUAACUUAAGCUACUACCGCAUACGCCCUACGGGUGAAAGCAGGGGAUCUUCGGACCUUGCGCGAGUGAAUGAGCCGAUGUCGGAUUAGCUAGUUGGCGGGGUAAAGGCCCACCAAGGCGACGGUCCGUAGCUGGUCUGAGAGGAUGAUCGGCCACACUGGAGAGGAGACACGGUCCAGACUCCUACGGGAGGCAACAGUGGGGAAUGUGAGGCAAUGGGCGCAAGCCUGAUCCAGCCAGACCGCGUGGGUGGAGAAGGCCUUCGGGUUGUAAAGCCCGUUUGUUGGGAAAGAAAAGCAGCAGGUUAAGACCCCGCUGUUCUGACGGUACCCAAUGAAUAAGCACCGGCUAACUACGUG
rnacentral:rRNA from 1 species